GCGAAUAUAGUUAAGUGGUAUAACUGCUGUCUUCCAAAUAGUAAUCAUCGGUUCGAAUCCGAUUAUUCGUA